AACUGAACACUACCGCAGUGACGAGCAAAAUUCGUAUGUAGUCUAGGCUGCACAACCGCACUGAUUGUUGCAACCUAAAUAUGCCUUCGUUUCCUCUUACCGGUUCCGUCACCAUCUGUGAAAUCAAUCGAGACCUCAUUGUCGCUGAGAAUCUGUCGGAAGAUCGAAGCCAGGACACUUAUGGCAAACUUCUUGGAAUGGUAUUCAGCCCGAUUCCAUUUCACUCUGAUCAAACGGUGUCGCCGAGUCCCGAGCAGGACACAGAACAAGAACAUGGAAGUAUGCCCGCUGAUAAUGCUGAGAGAAAGGGUUUAGUGGCAGCAUUGCAGGGAAUUCUCGGUCACCCCCUGAAACGUUUCUUUCAUCCUAGUGACGUAAACAUGUUACAGGAGGUUGAUCUUCAUGGAGUAAGCUGGCACCAUCAUAAGCAUAUUAUUGCAUUCAUAUCUGGGUCAAAUCAAGUUAUGGUCCGUGACUAUGAGGAUUCAGAAGGGAAGGAUCCCUGCAUUUUAACAAAUGAGUUGCAAAGAGAUGUUAAAGUACUUGAGUGGAGGCCAAAUGCUGGGAGGAUGCUCUCUGUAGCAUGCAAGGGUGGAUUAUGCAUUUGGGCUGCUUCUUUCCCAGGCAAUGCAGCAUCUGUGAGAUCUGGUGCUGCUUCAUUCUUGGGAACUGUCUCUAGGGGCUCUGGUGUGCAAUAUAUCCUGGUGGAUUUCCUUCGAAGUCCAAAUAAUGAACAAAUUAGUGCGCUCUCGUGGAGUCCAGAUGGAAGAUAUUUGGCUUCUGCCUCUUAUGAGAGCUCGUCAUUCACCAUAUGGGAUGUUGCUCAAGGUGUGGGCACACCCAUUCGACGAGGAUUAGGGGGCAUCUCAAUGAUGAAAUGGUCGCCUACUGGAGAUUACUUUUUUGCUGCAAAAUUUGAUGGAACAUUUUAUCUUUGGGAGACAAACACAUGGACAUCUGAACCUUGGUCUUCAACUAGUGGAUUUGUCAAGGGAGCAACAUGGGACCCUGAUGGACGUAUGAUACUAAUUGCUUUCUCAGAAUCAUUGACAUUGGGAUCUAUACAUUUUGCAUCAAAGCCUCCAUCAUUAGAUGCACACCUGUUACCAGUUGAUUUGCCUGAGAUAAUAUCCUUGACAGGCAGUCAGGGCAUUGAGAAGAUAGCCUGGGAUGCAUCGGGAGAGCGAUUGGCUGUAUCUUACAAAGGUGGGGAUGAACCAUACAGGGGUUUGAUAGCCGUAUAUGAUACUAGAAGGACUCCACUGGUUUCUGCAUCACUGAUUGGGUUUAUUAGAGGACCUGGAGACCAUCCGAAGCCAAUAGCAUUUUCAUUUCACAACAAGUUUAAGCAGGGUCCACUGCUUUCUGUGUGUUGGAGCAGUGGAUUUUGCUGUACCUAUCCUCUUAUAUUUCGUUCCCAUUCUCUUCCAUAGGUUGUGUUAAUUAGAGAUGAGUAUGGCAUUCCAUGAGUUGGAUUACAACUAAUUUUGAGCUUUGUAUUUUACUAUCCGACCUGUAAGUUGCCCUCUCUCUCUCUCUCUCUCAUCCCAGCUGCACAACCUCUUCACCAACUUCAGCUCAUGUCGCCACCAUUGUGAAAGAAAGUAGCACGCUAUUUGUAACAUACUAAGAGUAAAAUUUGGGAUCAAAGCAGGUCGAGAGAAUUUGCAGACUUAUUGAAAGGAAUAAUUCAAGGAUAAAGUCACCUCGGAUGCUCUUGGCCCGCUCGUGAGUAUUUAGAGGGUCAUCUUUAUAAUUGGAUGUCUUAUACCUCUUGGUAGUUAGUAUUAUGGUGCUUGCAAUUA